GACGAACGCUGGCGGCGUGCUUAACACAUGCAAGUCGAACGGAAAGGCCCCCAUCUUGGUGGGGGUGCUCGAGUGGCGAACGGGUGAGUAACACGUGGGUGAUCUGCCCUGUACUUCGGGAUAAGCUUGGGAAACUGGGUCUAAUACCGGAUAGGACCAUGGUUUAGUGUCUCAUGGUGGAAAGAUUAUUGUUUUGGUGCAGGAUGAGCUCGCGGCCUAUCAGCUUGUUGGUGGGGUAAUGGCCUACCAAGGCGUCGACGGGUAGCCGGCCUGAGAGGGUGGACGGCCACAUUGGGACUGAGAUACGGCCCAGACUGCUACGGGAGGCAGCAGUGGGGAAUAUUGCACAAUGGGCGCAAGCCUGAUGCAGCGACGCCGCGUGGGGGAUGACGGCCUUCGGGUGGUAAACUCCUUUCGUUAGGGACGAAGCCACGCUUGUUGGGUGUGGUGACGGUACCUUUGUUAAGAAGCACCGGCUAACUACGUG
rnacentral:rRNA from 1 species